rnacentral:rRNA from 1 species
UACGAAGGGGGCCAGCGUUGUUCGGAAUUACUGGGCGUAAAGCGCGUGUAGGCGGGCGAAUAAGUCAGGGGUGAAAUGCCAAGGCUCAACCUUGGAACUGCCUUUGAUACUGUUCGUCUUGAGUCCGGGAGAGGUGAGUGGAACUGCGAGUGUAGAGGUGAAAUUCGUAGAUAUUCGCAAGAACACCAGUGGCGAAGGCGGCUCACUGGCCCGGAACUGACGCUGAGACGCGAAAGCGUGGGGAGCAAACAGG